rnacentral:rRNA from 1 species
UACAGAGGGUGCGAGCGUUGUUCGGAAUUAUUGGGCGUAAAGGGCGCGUAGGCGGUUUGUCGCGUCUGCCGUGAAAGUCCGGGGCUCAACUCCGGAUCUGCGGUGGGUACGGGCAGACUAGAGUGAUGUAGGGGAGACUGGAAUUCCUGGUGUAGCGGUGAAAUGCGCAGAUAUCAGGAGGAACACCGAUGGCGAAGGCAGGUCUCUGGGCAUUAACUGACGCUGAGGAGCGAAAGCAUGGGGAGCGAACAGG